UACCAGCACCCCGAGUGGUCGGGACGUUUAUUGGGCCUAAAGCAUCCGUAGCCGGUUCUACAAGUCUUCCGUAAAAUCCACCUGCUUAACAGAUGGGCUGCGGAAGAUACUAUAGAGCUAGGAGGCGGGAGAGGCAAGCGGUACUCGAUGGGUAGGGGUAAAAUCCGUUGAUCCAUUGAAGACCACCAGUGGCGAAGGCGGCUUGCCAGAACGCGCUCGACGGUGAGGGAUGAAAGCUGGGGGAGCAAACCGG
rnacentral:rRNA from 1 species